AGUUUGAUCCUGGCUCAGAUUGAACGCUGGCGGAAUGCUUUACACAUGCAAGUCGAGCGGCAGCGCGGGGCAACCUGGCGGCGAGCGGCGAACGGGUGAGUAAUACAUCGGAACGUGCCCAGACGUGGGGGAUAACUACUCGAAAGAGUGGCUAAUACCGCAUACGAUCUAAGGAUGAAAGCGGGGGAUUGCAAGACCUCGCGCGUUUGGAGCGGCCGAUGGCAGAUUAGGUAGUUGGUGGGGUAAAGGCUUACCAAGCCCGCGAUCUGUAGCUGGUCUGAGAGGAUGAUCAGCCACACUGGGACUGAGACACGGCCCAGACUCCUACGGGAGGCAGCAGUGGGGAAUUUUGGACAAUGGGCGAAAGCCUGAUCCAGCCAUUCCGCGUGCAGGAUGAAGGCCCUCGGAUUGUAAACUGCUUUUGUACAGAACGAAAAAGCUCUUUCUAAUACAGAGAGUCCAUGACGGUACUGUAAGAAUAAGCACCGGCUAACUACGUG
rnacentral:rRNA from 1 species